rnacentral:ncRNA from 2 species
ACGGCUCAAAAUUGCUUAGGUGCUCGAUAUUUAUACGUUAUUUACGUAAAAAUGAAGAGAUAAUCGGGAAGUUAGUGAACUGCUGCAAGCAUAAUUCUAACGCUGCCCCCGCAACGGUAAUACUUUGUUAUUAACAAAGUUAAGCCCGGAGACCGGCCUAAUCAACAUAAAAUUA